GACGAACGCUGGCGGCGUGCUUAACACAUGCCAGUCGAACGGAAAGGCCCUGCUUUUGUGGGGUGCUCGAGUGGCGAACUGGUGAGUAACACGUGAGUAACCUGCCCUUGACUUUGGGAUAACUUCAGGAAACUGGGGCUAAUACCGGAUAGGAGCUCCUGCUGCAUGGUGGGGGUUGGAAAGUUUCGGCGGUUGGGGAUGGACUCGCGGCUUAUCAGCUUGUUGGUGGGGUAGUGGCUUACCAAGGCUUUGACGGGUAGCCGGCCUGAGAGGGUGACCGGCCACAUUGGGACUGAGAUACGGCCCAGACUCCUACGGGAGGCAGAAGUGGGGAAUAUUGCACAAUGGGCGGAAGCCUGAUGCAGCAACGCCGCGUGCGGGAUGACGGCCUUCGGGUUGUAAACCGCUUUCGCCUGUGACGAAGCGUGAGUGACGGUAAUGGGUAAAGAAGCACCGGCUAACUACGUG
rnacentral:rRNA from 1 species